GACGAACGCUGGCGGCGUGCCUAAUACAUGCAAGUUGAGCGCUGAAGGUUGGUACUUGUACCAACUGGAUGAGCAGCAAACGGGUGAGUAACGCGUGGGGAAUCUGCCUUUGAGCGGGGGACAACAUUUGGAAACGAAUGCUAAUACCGCAUAAAAACUUUAAACACAAGUUUUAAGUUUGAAAGAUGCAAUUGCAUCACUCAAAGAUGAUCCCGCGUUGUAUUAGCUAGUUGGUGAGGUAAAGGCUCACCAAGGCGAUGAUACAUAGCCGACCUGAGAGGGUGAUCGGCCACAUUGGGACUGAGACACGGCCCAAACUCCUACGGGAGGCAGCAGUAGGGAAUCUUCGGCAAUGGACGAAAGUCUGACCGAGCAACGCCGCGUGAGUGAAGAAGGUUUUCGGAUCGUAAAACUCUGUUGGUAGAGAAGAACGUUGGUGAGAGUGGAAAGCUCAUCAAGUGACGGUAACUACACAGAAAGGGACGGCUAACUACGUG
rnacentral:rRNA from 1 species